UACGUAGGGUGCAAGCGUUGUCCGGAAUUAUUGGGCGUAAAGAGCUCGUAGGCGGUCUGUCGCGUCUGCUGUGAAAACUGGAGGCUCAACCUCCAGCCUGCAGUGGGUACGGGCAGACUAGAGUGCGGUAGGGGAGAUUGGAAUUCCUGGUGUAGCGGUGGAAUGCGCAGAUAUCAGGAGGAACACCGAUGGCGAAGGCGGGUCUCUGGGCCGAUAUUGACGCUGAGGAGCGAAAGCGUGGGGAGCGAACAGG
rnacentral:rRNA from 1 species